UGGGGAAUAUUGGACAAUGGGGGCAACCCUGAUCCAGCCAUGCCGCGUGAGUGAUGAAGGCCUUAGGGUUGUAAAGCUCUUUCAGCGAGGAGGAUAAUGACGUUACUCGCAGAAGAAGCCCCGGCUAACUUCGUG
rnacentral:rRNA from 1 species